UCAGGCCUAACACAUGCAAGUCGAGCGAGGACUUCGGUCCUAGCGGCGGACGGGUGAGUAACGCGUGGGAACGUGCCCUUUGCUUCGGAAUAGCCCUGGGAAACUGGGAGUAAUACCGGAUGAGCCCUACGGGGGAAAGAUUUAUCGGCGAAGGAUCGGCCCGCGUUGGAUUAGGUAGUUGGUGGGGUAAUGGCCUACCAAGCCGACGAUCCAUAGCUGGUUUGAGAGGAUGAUCAGCCACGCUGGGACUGAGACACGGCCCAGACUCCUACGGGAGGCAGCAGUGGGGAAUCUUAGACAAUGGGGGAAACCCUGAUCUAGCCAAGCCGCGUGAGCGAUGAAGGCCUUAGGGUUGUAAAGCUCUUCAGCUGGAAGAUAAU
rnacentral:rRNA from 1 species